UACGUAGGGUGCAAGCGUUGUCCGGAAUUAUUGGGCGUAAAGAGCUCGUAGGCGGUCUGUCGCGUCUGCUGUGAAAACUCAGGGCUUAACCCUGAGCUUGCAGUGGGUACGGGCAGACUAGAGUGCGGUAGGGGAGACUGGAAUUCCUGGUGUAGCGGUGAAAUGCGUAGAUAUCAGGAAGAACACCCGUGGCGAAAGCGGCUCUCUGGAACGGUA
rnacentral:rRNA from 1 species